ensembl:lncRNA
GUAAUUUAAAGAGACAACGCUGUUUGAUGCAGAAUUUACACAUUAUUGAUACACACAUAUAUAGUUAAACUGGGAACGAUUUAACAGUUAAUUAACAAAUAUAGCUUGCUUUCUGAAUUAUUGGAUGACUUUUGUGUUUAUUGUAGCGGAUGCUAGUAGGUAACUUAACUGGUAACGUUAGUGUAUAUGUUGUAUAUGAGCACAUUCUACAUCUGACGUUAUCAUUGUGCUUCAGAGUGUUGUGCAAUAACAGGCUGUACAAUAAAUCUACUUAAUUAGCUGUCAAUAUAUCCAAUGACCAAUAGCCUUGUUGAAGUGUAAAACACUGAAUGUUUCAUACUCAAGAUAAUUUACAAGACUGCGUAAUGACUGUCUGUGUCUACUGAUCUAUUUUCCACCUUCUCCAUUGUUUCCCAGAAUGGGUGGAUUUAAAGAUGCAUACCAAGAUGUUCAGCCAGUAACCCUUCGACUUGCAGAAGGAAAUGUCAUUUCCAGUCUCUACUGCAGCUCAGCCGAGGGCAUUGAAGCUCACGUGUCCACUUUAGUGGAAGCUUUUUUUUAGUUGAAGUGUACCGAUGUAGAGUCUGUCAGUUUACCAGCAGCCAAAAAGCCAAGAUUAGCCAUCAUGUCUUGGAAAUGAUGACAGAAUUUUCAUUUGGAGUGAACAGUCUAAUUUAUUAAGUUUGAAAUGUGAGAAAAUGCAACUGUAAAUGUUUUUUUGAAGGUAAGCACGCUCUUUGAGGAGGAUAGGCAUGAUGAGGACAUCGAGGAGGAACCUGUGUUUCAGCUGGAGGAUGCUAACACAGAUCAGGCCGUUCCUUUGAACAGUGGAAUGGACACAGAAAUCCAGGAUGAAGAGAUGGCCCAGUCGGCUCAUCUCAUGACUCUUGGGUUGUGCAGAAUUUCAAGCACUAAGUGUCAACCUCAGUCUGCGACCUCAGCAAAAAGCCUGUCCCAUCCAGAAGGUGAACAGGUUGCUGGACAUGUCAACAUGGAUGCUGAAAUGCAGAAGCCAUCUGAGGAAGAUGGCGGAUUGGCCUGCAUCCUCUGUCAGAUAGUUGUAUCCAGUCGUAGUAUGCUAGAGGUGCACCUGAAAUGCCAUAGUGGAGACCAAGGCUUUAGGUGCCCUCGCUGUGGUUGGGAAUCAGAAGACUGGGUUGAUAUGGAGCAGCACUGGAGAGGACAUGGUAAAAGAAAAGGCUCAAAGAGGCAUAAAUGUAGCGUUUGCCCCAGGACAUUUAGGAGAGUUGACUCUCGUGACGCACAUGAAGAAAGGCAUAAUCAGCGGCAUCACUGUCGGUCUGUGACUGGGGGUCUGGUGCAGUGUUCUCUGUGCCUGGAAUGGUGUCUCUCAGGGAAGGAGUGGGUGAUACACCAACAAAGUCAUUUUCAAGGAGGCUUUAAAUGUUUAGAUUGUGAUUUCAAAGAGAAGUCAUGGAAUAAGACCCUGAAACAUAUUCACACUCAACACAAACAGCUUGACACAAGUCAAAAGAAACAGGUUGCUCACAGUAGGUAAGUAUCAAAUGUUUUCAUUCAAAUUCAUUUUUUUU